ACGUUAAUCGGGGCAGGGUGAGUCGACCCCUAAGGCGAGGCCGAAAGGCGUAGUCGAUGGGAAACAGGUUAAUAUUCCUGUACUUGGUGUUACUGCGAAGGGGGGACGGAGAAGGCUAUGUUGGCCGGGCGACGGUUGUCCCGGUUUAAGCGUGUAGGCUGGUUUUCCAGGCAAAUCCGGAAAAUCAAGGCUGAGGCGUGAUGACGAGGCACUACGGUGCUGAAGCAACAAAUGCCCUGCUUCCAGGAAAAGCCUCUAAGCAUCAGGUAACAUCAAAUCGUACCCCAAACCGACACAGGUGGUCAGGUAGAGAAUACCAAGGCGCUUGAGAGAACUCGGGUGAAGGAACUAGGCAAAAUGGUGCCGUAACUUCGGGAGAAGGCACGCUGAUAUGUAGGUGAAGCGACUUGCUCGUGGAGCUGAAAUCAGUCGAAGAUACCAGCUGGCUGCAACUGUUUAUUAAAAACACAGCACUGUGCAAACACGAAAGUGGACGUAUACGGUGUGACGCCUGCCCGGUGCCGGAAGGUUAAUUGAUGGGGUUAGCGGUAACGCGAAGCUCUUGAUCGAAGCCCCGGUAAACGGCGGCCGUAACUAUAACGGUCCUAAGGUAGCGAAAUUCCUUGUCGGGUAAGUUCCGACCUGCACGAAUGGCGUAAUGAUGGCCAGGCUGUCUCCACCCGAGACUCAGUGAAAUUGAACUCGCUGUGAAGAUGCAGUGUACCCGCGGCAAGACGGAAAGACCCCGUGAACCUUUACUAUAGCUUGACACUGAACAUUGAGCCUUGAUGUGUAGGAUAGGUGGGAGGCUUUGAAGUGUGGACGCCAGUCUGCAUGGAGCCGACCUUGAAAUACCACCCUUUAAUGUUUGAUGUUCUAACGUUGGCCCCUGAUCGGGGUUGCGGACAGUGUCUGGUGGGUAGUUUGACUGGGGCGGUCUCCUCCUAAAGAGUAACGGAGGAGCACGAAGGUUGGCUAAUCCUGGUCGGACAUCAGGAGGUUAGUGCAAUGGCAUAAGCCAGCUUGACUGCGAGCGUGACGGCGCGAGCAGGUGCGAAAGCAGGUCAUAGUGAUCCGGUGGUUCUGAAUGGAAGGGCCAUCGCUCAACGGAUAAAAGGUACUCCGGGGAUAACAGGCUGAUACCGCCCAAGAGUUCAUAUCGACGGCGGUGUUUGGCACCUCGAUGUCGGCUCAUCACAUCCUGGGGCUGAAGUAGGUCCCAAGGGUAUGGCUGUUCGCCAUUUAAAGUGGUACGCGAGCUGGGUUUAGAACGUCGUGAGACAGUUCGGUCCCUAUCUGCCGUGGGCGCUGGAGAACUGAGGGGGGCUGCUCCUAGUACGAGAGGACCGGAGUGGACGCAUCACUGGUGUUCGGGUUGUCAUGCCAAUGGCACUGCCCGGUAGCUAAAUGCGGAAGAGAUAAGUGCUGAAAGCAUCUAAGCACGAAACUUGCCCCGAGAUGAGUUCUCCCUGACUCCUUGAGAGUCCUGAAGGA
rnacentral:rRNA from 1 species